rnacentral:rRNA from 1 species
AUGGAGCUUUCGACUCCGUCCUCCUCCAAGGACGGGCACCGCAUCCCGUGGGGCGUUGUCGUGAAGAAGCUCGCCGAGCUGUUCCGCUUCCUUGCAUCCGCGUUCCCGGCGCUCGUCGCCGGGAUCCAGGAGUGGGCCGCAGCAAUGGAGCAGCGAGCGGGCUCCGCCUUGGCCGUCACCCUCCCGGCCGCGGCCAUAGUGGCGAUGGUCGUCCUCUGCUGCUGCUGUUGCGGGUACUUGGUGGCCGGCGGGCGGCACCGGCCGAGAGGGCCGAACGGGGAGGAGGUCUACGGCCGCGACGGGCCGGUGGUGAGGGAAGGUGACGGAGGCGGCCUAGUUAUCCGCCAGUUGAUGGCCGAAGGUGAGCCAGAGGAGGCCAAGGGCGGGGCCGCCAUGGACAUGGAGAUAUGUAUGCUGCGCGAGCGGGUGCGCGAGCAGAUGGACAAACUAGUGCAGAGUUUGAUCUCGGCAGACAAGGAACAAGAGAAACUGGAGGCAAUCCCCACGUUGCAGUCCAUCUCGGAUACAAUCGGGCGGCUCUGUGCAGCCCACGGCCAACCGGCCAUCGACAGCGGCAACCUGAAGGAGGAGGAGGAAGAGGACCUUGAUGAGACGGGCAUGAGCGGCAGGGAAGGCAGAGUCGCGGAAGAACCGGUGGUCUACCGCGAACGCAAUGCAGCCGCGGAGACCAACCCGGGAGCCGAGGAAGUCGACUACGCCGAGUACGAGGAGGAGGCCUUCGCUCGCUUCCGCACGGACUGGGAGCGUCGCAAAGGCAAACACUGCUUCGAAGAUCUGACCUUGAUCAGUCCCAUGCUCUUUACACACUACACGCCGGGAUUCAUGCCAAUCCACGCCGUCCCCGCGAGGACCCUACAGAUCUGUUCCAUCAAAGUCACCGACGUGAAACUCUUCGAGUGGCCGCUGCAGGUGUACGGCGUGGUUGCUGCCAGAGAUGCUGUGGAUGAGCACCGCAACCCCAUCUUUCUUCGUUCAAGGGAUGACUGCCAAAUCCUCAAUGAAGCGGAUCCUUUUCUAUACCUGACUAGCCCAGUUCGUGCAAUUAUGUCAGAGAAGCCCGUUCACAUUGAAAUCCAACUCAAAGUAAAGGGCACAACGGCCUUCGAAGAUAGAGCUUUGCUCAGUUAUGUCUUUUAUUAUGAUGGUGAUUAUUAUGAAGCUAGUUUAAGUACGAUCAUCAUUGAAAAGCACUCUUGCACACUAGAGUUAGGCGCCCAACAGCUUAAACGUUCAGUUCAAGCCACUAUCUUUGGUGUUCAUGUUGCUGAUUACAAAUCAAAUCCUUUUGAGCAUGGAGUUCGAGUGGUCUGCUCCUCACUAUCUCAGCAGCACGACACCAAAGACGCCGAUGAGUCCCCAUCUAUGGAAGUUGUGUUGCUUGAUUCGAAAGUUGAAAGAAAGUGCGUAGUGAAACGUGGUUACCUCAAUCUGUCAAGGCAAGUAGUUUCUGUAAACUUGAGUGGAAAGCUUAAAGUUCUCAUUCAAGCAUACACACCAUCCGGGGAAAUCAUGACACAGGGUCAUGUCUUCGUCAUGCCCAAAACAAGCAACACCAGUCAACAUGCAUGUGACCUUGAUGGCUUCAAGGUGGAGUUUACCGUUGCAUGGUCCUUUCUUGUUCAAGAUGAGGAGCAUAUCUUGAUGAAUGGGCGUGUGGAUCCUUUGGCCCCGUGUCCUUCAGAACCCUCCCUUUUCCUCAAGGAGACGACAGCGAAACCGACAAAGGUAGUACAGAAAUGGCAACCUCCUGAUCAUCCUUUAAUCAAGGUCAAUGUGGAUGCUUCUUUCCAUGAAGUAGCACAACAAGGUGGCACGGGACUGGGCAUUCGCAAUCACGAGGGCACUUUGCUACGUGCCCAAGCAAUAUGGUAUGAUGCAGGGCUUAGCGCAAUGGCCAUGGAGGCUUACGCAAUCCGAGAUGGGGUCCAAAUGGCACGCAACAUUGGUAUGCGGAAGGUCGCCUCGCUUCCGCUUCGUGCCGCUGCCGCACUUAGAUGGGCCGUAAGACGGCGCCAAUUCCACGCCGAUGUGCCGCUCGUGAAGAUCAAGCUCGUCAAGAAGGCCAUGGACAAGCUCACAGCCCCGCUCGCCGCAUUCCCCGCAGAUGCCGUUGGCGUUGAGAGGAGGUGCUUCUCCUGCCCCCCACCUCCACCGCCAUGGCAAAAAGCUUCUGCUGCCAUCGGGAUCAAGGAUGUGGCGGGGUGCUGGGCAACCCACCGCACCUCGCGCAAGGAACACCGAACACAUGGGCGCUGCAGCUCAUGCGGUUGUGGCUACACACACGGCUUGCGCGACAACCAAUGUUGA